rnacentral:tRNA from 1 species
GAGGCCAUGGCUCAACAGCAGAGUGUUUGCUUUGAAUGCAGAAGGUUCCUGGUUCAAUCCCAGACAUCUUCC